UACGUAGGGUCCAAGCGUUAUCCGGAAUCACUGGGCGUAAAGCGUGCGUAGGUGGAUGUUUAAGUGUGAUGUUAAAUCGCGGGGCUCAACCCUGUCGAUGCAUCGCAUACUGGACGUCUAGAGGACGGCAGAGGCAAGUGGAACUAGUAGUGUAGCAGUGAAAUGCGUAGAUAUUACGAAGAACACCAAUGGCGAAGGCAGCUUGCUGGGCCACUCCUGACACUGAGGUACGAAAGCGUGGGGAGCGAACAGG
rnacentral:rRNA from 1 species